rnacentral:rRNA from 1 species
GAUGAACGCUGGCGGCGUGCCUAAUACAUGCAAGUCGAGCGAACGGACGAGAAGCUUGCUUCUCUGAUGUUAGCGACGGACGGGUGAGUAACACGUGGAUAACCUACCUAUAAGACUGGGAUAACUUCGGGAAACCGGAGCUGAUACCGGAUAAUAUUUUGAACCGCAUGGUUCAAAAGUAAAAGACGGUCUUGCUGUCACUUAUAGAUGGAUCCGCGCUGCAUUAGCUAGUUGGUAAGGUAACGGCUUACCAAGGCAACGAUGCAUAGCCGACCUGAGAGGGUGAUCGGCCACACUGGAACUGAGACACGGUCCAGACUCCUACGGGAGGCAGCAGUAGGGAAUCUUCCGCAAAGGGCGAAAGCCUGACGGAGCAACGCCGCGUGAGUGAUGAAGGUCUUCGGAUCGUAAAACUCUGUUAUUAGGGAAGAACAUAUGUGUAAGUAACUGUGCACAUCUUGACGGUACCUAAUCAGAAAGCCACGGCUAACUACGUG